rnacentral:rRNA from 1 species
AACGAACGCUGGCGGCAGGCCUAACACAUGCAAGUCGAGCGGACCUUUCGGGGUCAGCGGCGGGCGGGUGAGUAACGCGUGGGAAUAUGCCCUUCUCUACGGAAUAGUCCUGGGAAACUGGGGGUAAUACCGUAUACGCCCUUUGGGGGAAAGAUUUAUCGGGGAAGGAUUAGCCCGCGUUGGAUUAGGUAGUUGGUGGGGUAAUGGCCUACCAAGCCGACGAUCCAUAGCUGGUUUGAGAGGAUGAUCAGCCACACUGGGACUGAGACACGGCCCAGACUCCUACGGGAGGCAGCAGUGGGGAAUCUUAGACAAUGGGGGCAACCCUGAUCGAGCCAUGCCGCUUGAGUGAUGAAGGCCUUAGGGUUGUAAAGCUCUUUCAGCUGGGAAGAUAAUGACGGUACCAGCAGAAGAAGCCCCGGCUAACUCCGUG